AAUUUUCUCUCUCCUUUUCAUAAUUAAUUUUCUCUCUCCUUUCCAAAUUCUAACGUCUUAUCCUACAUUCAAUACUCCAAUAUCAGAUUUGAAUUUCAAAUUUUUGUCCAAAAUUUCAGUAAUCCCUCCCGAAUUUGAAGUCCCCUUCCUUAGUCGAAGUCAAUUCCAUCUAAAAUUCGUCAAACAAUGAACGAAUCGUCUACAUCUUUGAGGAUUACCAGAGGGUCUUUGGGAAAAUCAAAACAACUUAUACAAGAACAAACCAUGGAAGAGCUGAGAUCAAAGAAAAAAAACGA